GGGUUGUGAGGUUAAGCGACUAAGCGUACACGGUGGAUGCCCUGGCAGUCAGAGGCGAUGAAGGACGUGCUAAUCUGCGAUAAGCGUCGGUAAGGUGAUAUGAACCGUUAUAACCGGCGAUUUCCGAAUGGGGAAACCCAGUGUGAUUCGUCACACUAUCAUUAACUGAAUCCAUAGGUUAAUGAGGCGAACCGGGGGAACUGAAACAUCUAAGUACCCCGAGGAAAAGAAAUCAACCGAGAUUCCCCCAGUAGCGGCGAGCGAACGGGGAGCAGCCCAGAGCCUGAAUCAGUGUGUGUGUUAGUGGAAGCGUCUGGAAAGGCGCGCGAUACAGGGUGACAGCCCCGUACACAAAAAUGCACAUGCUGUGAGCUCGAUGAGUAGGGCGGGACACGUGGUAUCCUGUCUGAAUAUGGGGGGACCAUCCUCCAAGGCUAAAUACUCCUGACUGACCGAUAGUGAACCAGUACCGUGAGGGAAAGGCGAAAAGAACCCCGGCGAGGGGAGUGAAAAAGAACCUGAAACCGUGUACGUACAAGCAGUGGGAGCACGCUUAGGCGUGUGACUGCGUACCUUUUGUA
rnacentral:rRNA from 1 species